AACAAACGCUGGCGGCGUGCCUAAUACAUGCAAGUCGAACGGGGAAAGCUUUCGGGUGAGUACUAGUGGCGCACGGGUGAGGAACGCGUGGAUAAUCUGCCUUAGAGUGGGGGAUAACUAGUCGAAAGAUUAGCUAAUACCGCAUAAGACCACAGGAGCUGCGGCUCUAGGGGUCAAAGGUUUUUCGCUCUAAGAUGAGUCCGCGUAAGAUUAGCUAGUUGGUGAGGUAACGGCUCACCAAGGCGACGAUCUUUAACUGGUCUGAGAGGAUGAUCAGUCACACUGGAACUGAGACACGGUCCAGACUCCUACGGGAGGCAGCAGUAGGGAAUAUUGCACAAUGGAGGAAACUCUGAUGCAGCGACGCAGCGUGAGUGAUGAAGGCCUUCGGGUCGUAAAGCUCUGUCGCAGGGGAAUAACACAAUGAAUGUACCCUGUAAGAAAGGAUCGGCUAACUUCGUGCCAGCCGCCGCGGUAAUAC
rnacentral:rRNA from 1 species